UGGUGACUAUUUCACAAUUAAUCAUAACAAAUAUAGGAGCUAGACCUUACCUUGGUGGUUGCCUGUUUUAAGUUUCUGAUUUCUUUUCUGUAUUUUGGAGCCUGGUUUACCCUGUGUCUGGAACUGGCAUUCUAAGAUCUAAAUGUCUUAGCUUGGAGAUACUUGCUAUUAUAUACACUAAUAUCAUGGAUUUUGAAAGAGGAUGAAGAUGGUGAAGAGAUAGACAUGGCCUUCAAUCUACAUUAUAAAAAUAAUGUAGAAAUGUUCUAUGCUAGACAAGAGGCAAGCUGUUGCAGGAAUGGGACAGAAAGCAGGAAGGGAUGUGAUUCUUCCAUUUUCGGUCUUUCUACAGAUGUUACUAGAAUACACACCCCAUGUGAGGAUUUAGCUUAUGGGUACAGAUAUUAUAAAGCAUAGAGAGGUUUCGGACUGUUUUCCUGAGAGGGAGUGUGGUGUGGGGAAAAGAGCAAACCUACCUAGAGUUGAAUCUGUGCUCCUAGUAAUAGCUGUAUGAAUUUAGACAAAUAAUUUAAUUCUUAUAACUUUGGGAUUUUUCAAGUUCAAACUAAGGGUGAUAAUACUAGAAUUUUCACGAUUCUUCAGUUGCAUGAGACCAAAACUCUGCUCAUACUUAGGGCACUGAAACUAGAAGUAUAUUCUCUUUAGGUACAGAUAGACCCUCAUGUAGGCCUUCUCCAUAUGGAGCUCUGUGACAUUUCUUUCAGUUGGGUUCAGGAAGCCAAACAUAAAGACUUCUGUUUUCCUUAGUUCUAGCAAAAGUUCCAGGAUUGUGUCUCGUUGAAGGAUUCCAAUCAUUUCCCCAUCCCUGAUCCCAUCGUCACAGGGAUGAUAUAUGAUGAUAGGCCAUAUCUGGAUUAGGUGCUAAUUACUGGAACUAGGAAUAGGAAGUGUGGUCAGCUAUGUCUAAGCCCUUUGGCCUGAGAUUCACAAUGGUUAGAAUCACUCGAGGAAGGAGAAGAUACUGUGACCCUGGAAGGAGGGAGUAGAUGCUGGGUGAGCAAAACGCAUUUACUAUAGUCCUCUAGCGUGCAUACAUUUCCUCCUUUGUAUAUAUGCCCUUGAAAAAAAUGCCCUCACCUAUCAUUGUGUAAAUUUCUUGCUUAUAACUUUCGAUGCAUUUACCACCUGUCCCUCAAGAAAAGAAGACAACUAAGAGAUUUGUUUAAGUACUGCAUCUAGCUUUAAGACUAGGAUCUCUGGAUAAUUUCUUUAGCUCUGUUUGAACAGACUGUCUUAGGGUCUAGCAACUUGCAGUUGACCAGUAUAAUUAAUUGUAGUAAGGCCAGUUUUCAGUGAUAGAAGGAAAAUAGCAUGUGGACAACAAAAACCCUUAAUUGAUAUCCUACUUCAUCACUCUUAAGUUCUGCCUGCUGUAAAGUCCUGGACAUGGACAUAAUUCAGGCAAGUGCUUAAUCACUUUAUAACAAGGAUGGCCUUUCCCCCAGUUUCCAAUACUUUGUUCUCAUUUCUGUCUGAGACCUCAUCAGAAUAGCCUUUACUGUUCAUAUGUCUACCAAUAUUCUGUUCAUGGCAACACAGGCUUUUUCUAGCAUUCAUCUUCAGAACUGUUAUAGCUUCUACCCAUUACCCAAUUCCAGAGCUGCUUCCACAUUUUUAGGUAUUUGUUAUAGCAACAUGCCACUUCUCUGGUACCAGUUUCUGUCUUAGUCCAUUUUGUGCUUCUAUAACAGAAUACCACAGACUGAGUAAUUUAAAAAUAAUAGAAAUUUAUUCUCUCACAGUUCUAGAGGCUGGAAAUUUCAAAGUCAAGGUGUAGACAUCUCAUGAGGGCCUUCUUGCUGUGUCCUCACAUGGCAGAAAGCCGAAGGGCAAGAGAGGGAUGAACUGUGUGUCCUCACAUGGCAGAAGAGAAGAGAACACAUUCCU
rnacentral:lncRNA from 1 species